GCGGGGUGAGGGUGGGGUCGGCGGUUUGAUUGGGAUCGGGCGAAAGAGGGAAGGGAGCUGGGGGUGCUCGGCGGCGUGGAGAGGGAGCUAGGGGUGCUAGGAGAGGAGCGGGCGUCGGCGGCCGGAGCAGAGAGGUGAGCGGAUGAGGAGAGGAGAUGGUACAGCAGCAGCUAGGGUGGCGGCCGGAAGAGGUGACGAACGGAGAAGGACAGGCGAAGGUACAGUGGCAGCUAGGUCUAGCCUACAUCCAGUAGCACCACCCUCUCAUCGCCGCCGCCCCAGAAGAGCCAUCCUACGCCUGCUGUUCCCCUUCAUCCUCCGGCCGCUCCUUCCGUUCGUUGUCGCCCCUUCCUCGUACACUCGCUAGCAUCGCGCCCCUUGUAGGCACCCCUACCGCGGCAGCCGGUCACCGGUAAGCGGCGGCAGCCGGAGUGAGCGGAGCAGACGAGAGAGAAGUGGUCGGGCUGGUAUCUCCUACCCUGCUCUUUCAGACACCGGUCGCUUACCUCGGGGUGGAAACGUAAAGACAGCGGCGGCUCCUUGCAGCGUCGGUGAGCGGGUGUGGUCGGUUUCACUAAGUAGAUGUGACGACGAUCUUCUAAACCCUGAAGUGUUAGACUACGACUCGUUCACCUGUAGGUACAGGGUUUACUCUUCCGACCCAACGAGUAACCCCUCCCUCCACUAUGGUAACUCGAAAAUCUUUGAUUCAGACCCUGACCGUAAGUCCUAUCACGAUACUGAUAUACGUACCUACAAAAAUUAGUAGAGGGUUUACUCUUCCGAGCCUACGAGUAACCCCUCCCUCCACUCUGGUAACUCGAAAUCUUUGAUUCAGACCCCGACCGUAAGUCAAUUAGGGCGUAGUAGAGGGGCUUCCACUAGAAAGGUGUCUUUCUUUUUAUGCUGAAUCACCCUUAACCUUAGUUUAUCUCUAACGUUCUUGUUACCAGCACCUUGAGUAAUCAGUCCACGAAGAGCAUGAAUAGAUAUAGAUAUUCAUACUAUACAAUGUAACGAGAGGUACGAUAAACUAUUAAAUUUCCCCUCAAUAUAAACAAAAAGUCAGAAUAUGUACAUCUAGGCGCACUUCAAUUUUUGGUACCAACGAUCUAUACGUGAAAGACAAAACUUUACAACGAACGUGAAAAACACAAUGGUACUAACCCGUUUAUAAACUCAUAAGAACUAAAAAACAAAAAAUCUACUUAAGAAGUGAAAAAGUCGUACCCGAAGACUACUUGAAACAAUAAGUCCCGUUUCCAACUAAUUAGAUUACUAAACACAAUAAAGAAACCGCAAUCCAUGUCUUCUAAUCAAAAAAACAACACCUAAAAAGACGGAAACGUCCGGAGAAAGAAACAAUGAAGACUUUGAGUUGUAUACCCCUAAAACUCUCCUAAAAGUACCAAAACUGGUCCCAGUCACGAUCUAAUUUAUAUAGACGUCAUCGCGUUCUAAAAUAAGAAGAGAUUUGCUGGACUAAAUCUCUGUAAAAUUCCACAAAUAGGUCUACACUAGAAAAAAUAAGUCACUGUCCGCUUAGUAUAUUAAGAAAGUAAAUUUAAGUACGAGACAAUAGAUCUUUGAUUAUCCAGGAAAACAUAUGUAUCUGAUAGUACGGCACUUUCACAUUAUAAAAGGGGGACAAAACCUGACUGAACAAUAGUUUAGUAAAGUUUGAGAUAUAAAAAUGACAAAUCAUUAAUUUGGAAAUUCCUGAUUACCAACUGCGAUCUAGAACGAAAAAAAUGAGACAAUAAGAAACAACAAUCAUUGAAUGAUAAUGAGACACAUCCGAUUUGACCACGCAUGUAAAAGACACCAAUCUGUAUAUAAAGAUAUACGUACACCUUCACAUCUAGAGCACUCUAUAUAAAAUAUUGACCUUACCGACUCAUAGACACAAUCAACUAAUGGAGUACGUUAUCAACAUCGAAGAGUACCUUAUAAGUGUGCAACAGUGACUGUUAAAUAGUAUAAAUGUUCUCGAGUUGGAACACGAAUCAACUAAUGCUCUUACGGUGAGAGUAUACGGACUAUCUGAUACAACGGAACUAUACAACAUUCUCUUAUUAAGUAUACCUUAAGUCAACGUUCUCCUUGUUCAUACUGCAUUACAACUAAAUAACUAUUUGUACGUAAAAGCACUAAUAUAUUAACAUAUACUAAAAAAAUCUCUUUUAUAACGUUCUCGAGUAGGUACAUGAACGAACUAAUGUGGUUGAACCCUCGUGAUAGUUCAUGAGGGAUGAAGGGUUUUAGAACCCGCAUAAUCCAUAAUCGUGCUUUUAAUCGCGUGACAAUCAAUGCGCUCGGUAGCAUGCUCCCUCGGUAUGUGUUAACCUCUUUUUUUCCUUCCGCACGUGCUAAACCCACGAUUGCCGUGGUCUCCUGGCUGGCGGAAAAAAUAAAGGUUUUUGCAUCGAUUGAUGUACGGGACGUAAUACCCUGACGUACAUUUUAGAUUAUACGGGUUUUUAAAACCUUCCUCCCUCAUGGUUUGUUACAAAAGACAAACACUAUUUAAGUCAAUACCACACUAACGGAUGACAUCAUGAGGGAGGCAAGCCUUUAUGAGCAGCCUCUCUACCUACAUAGAUCUGCAUAAAAACAAGAUUUACGUAAGUAAAAGUAGGUAAAGACGCUGUUCAUAAAGGCCUGCCUCCCUCAUGAUGCGUUUGACUAAAGUAGUAUAGUAGUUAAAGUCCUUCGAAUACAGCAAACAGUAACUAAUAACUACAGUAUUGUUCCUAUACGGUAUGUGUACUUCUAUGAGGAUAAUUGUGCUCACGGUAGUCAUAUCACUGGAACACGUAGUCUUUUUCCCGAACCAAUUUCGUAUUCCUGUUACUAGGGCAAAAAAGAGAUAUCCGGAGGGGAAGAAGUUUACUUCGAGGUUGGAAUCGUUCCCAUACCAUCAUCUACUACAUAGACAAAACAAACACAGCUGUCUGUUCGCCAACCAACUAAGACAUAUGUGUAGGACGUUUGAUUCGAAUCGUUUAUCGUUAUUUCGAAGUUGUUCACACAAGCGACAGUAGAGGGAAACUUUGUUACAUAGUAUAAGACCAAAAGAUUAUACAUAACAUGUUGUAUACUGAUAGGUUUAAUAAGAGACAUCUAUUGAUGUGCGAAUAGAUGAACAGCAUGGUUUUACCAAGCAGAAAUAGUUUUAGGUACAAAGGAACAAGUAAGGAUAUAGAGUCAAAAUCAUAACAUAACGAAAACAAAAGCCGUCAGUGGACGGAUAAACAUACUCUCUAAACAAUAACUGGAUUCCGGUUCACAUAGUGAUAGAUAAAUAGUAGGAACCACAACCAUAGGUCUGCUACUCAUACUACUACGGUAACUAAGUGUACUACUAGAACCACUACUCAUACUACUACGGUGAGUAUACAACCACACUCCUUUGAACCACUACCAUAACCACUCUCGCAUCUCUUCCUUCACUUCCAAGGGAAACUCUCUUUCUACUUUCUAAUCACCAAGGUAAGUUAAGGUCUACAUUGUGCACACAUACUUAGUACCACAAUAGAAUCUAUACGAACCAACUAUAAAAGAAGAAGAUAAAAGUGGUAUUGUAAAUACAUCUUGGGUAAAUUCUCUCGGUAUUCUCCUUUCCCU
rnacentral:rRNA from 1 species